rnacentral:rRNA from 1 species
UACGGGGGGGGCAAGCGUUGUUCGGAAUUACUGGGCGUAAAGGGCUCGUAGGCGGCCAACUAAGUCAUACGUGAAAUCCCUCGGCUUAACCGGGGAACUGCGUCUGAUACUGGAUGGCUUGAGUUCGGGAGAGGGAUGCGGAAUUCCAGGUGUAGCGGUGAAAUUCGUAGAUAUCGAGAGGAACACCGGUGGCGAAGGCGGCCAACUGGACGAAUACUGACGCUGAGACUCGAAAGCGUGGGGAGCAAACAGG